UGAGUAGGUGUGUCCUAACUUUUGACUGGUACUGUAUGUUAAGGGGAUGGUUCACCCCAAUAGAAAGGUUCAUACCUCUCAAUACCAUCUUAUUAGAUGGAUCCAUUUCCCCCCAUUAGUUUGGGAUUCAGACCUGCAGUCAUCUUGAUUUCAGACCACUUUGGAGAAGUGUUCCACAGGCAGUAAAUCUAAUGUAGAAUAAAUGGAACCUGGAUCCAUUUCAUUCUAUUAACAUGGUUUAUGUGUUAUAACAGUAAUGGGGUUAAACUGAUAUUAAAAUGACAACUCCAUAGGUGGUACCAGGUCUGGGGAGUUCAUCUCUGCUCCCACCAUCCCUGGGACAGUACUGAUCAACAUAGCUGACCUGAUGCAGAGGUGGACCAGUGAUGUUUUCCUCUCAGUGGUGAGACUUGCCCUUCCAUUUGACACACCUUUACCUGAUGAGAUCAUACAAGACGUUACAGGCUGAUUGCAUGUGGAAACAGACCUGCGUUAAAAUAAUGUUGAAUACUUAAUAAGUGUUUGAUUGAGUUUGUUGUAAUGGAACCAAUAGAAAAGUCCUAAAAGUACAAACAAACCCCGCCCACCUGGAGGACAAAGGAAAUGCUCAAAGUGUUGGAAAGAUUUCAAAUAGUAUUUGAAUCCAGGGUGUUAUUCGUUAGAGAACACUGUAGCAAAACAUUUAGCAACAUAAUUAUUUUAGUUCAGUUAGUCCCUUCGUGUUUCAGUUCAUAUUCUUCAGUUUGGUGCCUCGUGGAUAUGAUUCAGGUCUCCGUGGAAACAUCAAUGUAAAUUCACCUUUGAUUUUUACUCCUCACUUUCCCUUUCAGGUCCAUAGGGUUUUACUGUCCCCUGCUGGAGACUGGAGCACACUGCAGUCCCUUUCAGGUCCAUAUGGUUUUACUGCCCCCUGCUGGAGACUGGAGCACACUGCAGUCCCUUUCAGGUCCAUAUGGUUUUACUGCCCCCUGCUGGAGACUGGAGCACACUGCAGUCCCUUUCAGGUCCAUAGGGUUUUCCUGCCCCCUGCUGGAGACUGGAGCACACUGCAGUCCCUUUCUUGUCCAUGGGGUUUUACUGCCCCCUGCUGGAGACUGUACCACACUGCAGUCCCUGGCUUUCUUUGUGCAGCCGGAUGAUGAGGCCCUCAUCAAUACAGAUACUGUAUGUAGAACCAUAGUAAAGCCCAGUAUGGACUAUCAAUACAGGUACUGUAUGUAGAACCAUAGUAAAGACCAGUAUGGACUAUCAAUAGCAAACAGACACUGUAUGUAGAACCAUAGUAAAGACCAGUAUGGACUAUCAAUACAGAUACUGUAUGUAGAACCAUAGUAAAGACCAGUAUGGACUAUCAAUACAGAUACUGUAUGUAGAACCA